rnacentral:rRNA from 1 species
AUUUCUUACGGGAGGCAGCAGUAGGGAAUUCUUCCACAAUGGACGAAAGUCUGAUGGAGCAACGCCGCGUGAGUGAAGAAGGGUUUCGGCUCGUAAAACUCUGUUGUUAAAGAAGAACAUAUCUGAGAGUAACUGUUCAGGUAUUGACGGUAUUUAACCAGAAAGCCACGGCUAACUACGUGCCAGCAGCCGCGGUAAUACGUAGGUGGCAAGCGUUGUCCGGAUUUAUUGGGCGUAAAGCGAGCGCAGGCGGUUUUUUAAGUCUGAUGUGAAAGCCUUCGGCUCAACCGAAGAAGUGCAUCGGAAACUGGGAAACUUGAGUGCAGAAGAGGACAGUGGAACUCCAUGUGUAGCGGUGAAAUGCGUAGAUAUAUGGAAGAACACCAGUGGCGAAGGCGGCUGUCUGGUCUGUAACUGACGCUGAGGCUCGAAAGUAUGGGUAGCAAACAGGAUUAGAUACCCUGGUAGUCCAUACCGUAAACGAUGAAUGCUAAGUGUUGGAGGGUUUCCGCCCUUCAGUGCUGCAGCUAACGCAUUAAGCAUUCCGCCUGGGGAGUACGGCCGCAAGGCUGAAACUCAAAGGAAUUGACGGGGGCCCGCACAAGCGGUGGAGCAUGUGGUUUAAUUCGAAGCUACGCGAAGAACCUUACCAGGUCUUGACAUACUAUGCAAAUCUAAGAGAUUAGACGUUCCCUUCGGGGACAUGGAUACAGGUGGUGCAUGGUUGUCGUCAGCUCGUGUCGUGAGAUGUUGGGUUAAGUCCCGCAACGAGCGCAACCCUUAUUAUCAGUUGCCAGCAUUAAGUUGGGCACUCUGGUGAGACUGCCGGUGACAAACCGGAGGAAGGUGGGGAUGACGUCAAAUCAUCAUGCCCCUUAUGACCUGGGCUACACACGUGCUACAAUGGAUGGUACAACGAGUUGCGAACUCGCGAGAGUAAGCUAAUCUCUUAAAGCCAUUCUCAGUUCGGAUUGUAGGCUGCAACUCGCCUACAUGAAGUCGGAAUCGCUAGUAAUCGCGGAUCAGCAUGCCGCGGUGAAUACGUUCCCGGGCCUUGUACACACCGCCCGUCACACCAUGAGAGUUUGUAACACCCAAAGUCGGUGGGGUAACCUUUAGGAACCAGCCGCCUAAGGUGGACAGAGAUGCG